GUGGCGUUUUGCAGCCAAUCCUAUGGCAAAGCAUUGGAUUGGCUGAGAUCAUCAAGCUUGAUGAUCUCAGCUAUAGAGGCAGGGCCAGUCGAGGAGAGACCAGCACGCUGCGUGGGGGAAAAAAAGGUGAGCAAAAACACUAUUUUUAAACACACAUAUACACGAUGACAGAUACAGAAACACACAUAUACCAUGACAGAUACACACCCCAUGACAGACACACACACACCAUGACAUAGACAGACACACACACCAUGACACAGACAGGCACACACACACACCCCAUGACAGACAGACACACUCCCCAUGACGGACAGACACACACCCCAUGAGACACACACUCCAUGACACAGACACACAC
rnacentral:lncRNA from 1 species